CCUACGGGAGGCAGCAGUGAGGAAUAUUGGACAAUGGGCGCAAGCCUGAUCCAGCCAUGCCGCGUGCAGGAAGAAUGCCCUAUGGGUUGUAAACUGCUUUUAUUUAGGAAGAAACCCCCCAACGUGUUGGGGGCUGACGGUACUAAACGAAUAAGGACCGGCUAACUCCGUGCCAGCAGCCGCGGUAAUACGGAGGGUCCAAGCGUUAUCCGGAAUCAUUGGGUUUAAAGGGUCCGCAGGCGGGCUUUUAAGUCAGUGGUGAAAUCUCUUGGCUUAACCAAGAAAUUGCCAUUGAAACUAUAAGUCUUGAAUUCGGUCGAAGUGGGCGGAAUGUGUCAUGUAGCGGUGAAAUGCAUAGAUAUGACACAGAACACCGAUAGCGAAGGCAGCUCACUAGGCCUGAAUUGACGCUCAGGGACGAAAGCGUGGGGAGCGAACAGGAUUAGAUACCCUGGUAGUCCACGCCGUAAACGAUCAUUACUCGAUAUCAGCGAUAUACAGUUGGUGUCUAAGCGAAAGUGAUAAGUAAUGCACCUGGAGAGUACGAUCGCAAGGUUGAAACUCAAAGGAAUUGACGG
rnacentral:rRNA from 1 species